GCGAGGCGGUGCCAGCGUCGGAGGCCCUCGAGGCCUCGGGCUUCGGGUCCCGAGCGCUCUCUUUGCUCUUGCUCCGGUCCUUGCGGUCGCGGCCCCGCUCCCUGUCCCUGGCCUUGUCUCGGUCCCGCUCUCUGCUCCGGGACCGGUCCCGGUCGCGCCUCCGGUCUCGCUCGCGCUCUCGGUUCCUGCUCCGCUCCCGGCUGCGGUCCCACUCCUUGCCCCGGUCGGCCUCGCGCUCUCGGUCGCGGUUGGCGCUCCUCUCCCGGUUUCUGUCCCAGUCCCGGCUGGAGUCCUUGUCCCGGUGUCGGUCCCACUCCCGGGGCCGGUCCCAGUCCCGCUCUCGGCUCCAGUUUCGGCCGCGCUCGCGCUCUCUCCUCCUGUCCUCGGACGCCCGGCCCUGGGCGUCGGGCUCCUCCAGCGGCUUCUCUUUG
rnacentral:lncRNA from 1 species